CUCCCUCAUGUUAGGCAUAUGAGCAGUGGCCUUAGUGGCCCUUCUAGGCCCAUCUUUGUUGGACCAGGCCCACAAGGAAACAGGCCCUUGCAUCAAUUCUACACAUGAUGCCUUAAUCAACACCGGUGCAGAGGAAUAAAUGAACCGCAAUCUCAUCAACAACCACCUAACAUGCAGAAGUGCGUCCUGCUUUGAUAGUCAGAUUGCAUAGCACCAGCUAGCCGAAAGAGGAAAAAACGAUCUUUGGGCAAGAAGACUGAAAAGAACAGGAUAAACUAAACAUGAUCAACAGAGGAUGCAGUAGCAUUGUAGAAGCAUCAACCUUCAGAGUAGCUCACUCCAAACAACUUGUACAGGUACCAACCACCAUAUUUAGACAACAAUAUAUCUGACAUAACAAGGCAAGAAAAAGAGCUCACAAUCCCCACCCCACCACCCUUGGGGGAAAAAAAACCAAGAAAAAGAAAAGAAAAAAAAAAAAAAAAAAACAAUAAAACCAACCAACCAACCAGACAUACCCAAAAUGCAUCA
rnacentral:lncRNA from 1 species